rnacentral:tRNA from 1 species
AGCAUCGCGCCGAGCGUUUCGCGCGCGUUGUCGUUGUCGUCGACGAUCAGCGCGCGCGUGUCGCGCAGCGCGGCCGGCGCCGCACCGGCCGGCGCUUC